UUCCGGUUGAUCCUGCCGGAGGUCACUGCUAUCGGUGUUCGACUAAGCCAUGCGAGUCGAAUGUUCUUCGUGAACAUGGCGUACUGCUCAGUAACACGUGGAUAACCUGCCCUUAGGACUGGCAUAACCCCGGGAAACUGGGGAUAAUUCCGGAUAGUUCAUGGUAGUUGGAAUGCUCCAUGAUCGAAAGCUAUUGCGCCUAAGGAUGGGUCUGCGGUCUAUCAGGUAGUAGUGGGUGUAAUGUACCUACUAGCCGACGACGGAUACGGGUUGUGGGAGCAAGAGCCCGGAGAUGGAUUCUGAGACAUGAAUCCAGGCCCUACGGGGCGCAGCAGGCGCGAAAACUUUACAAUGCGGGAAACCGCGAUAAGGGGACACCGAGUGCCAGCAUCUUAUGUUGGCUGUCCGCAUGUAUAAAUCACAUGUGUUAGCAAGGGCCGGGCAAGACCGGUGCCAGCCGCCGCGGUAACACCGGCGGCCCGAGUGGUGGCCACUAUUAUUGGGUCUAAAGGGUCCGUAGCCGGUUUGGUCAGUCUUCCGGGAAAUCUGACGGCUUAACCGUUAGGCUUUCGGGGGAUACUACCAGGCUUGGGACCGGGAGAGGUAAGAGGUACUACGGGGGUAGGAGUGAAAUCUUGUAAUCCUCGUGGGACCACCAGUGGCGAAGGCGUCUUACCAGAACGGGUCCGACGGUGAGGGACGAAAGCUGGGGGCACGAACCGGAUUAGAUACCCGGGUAGUCCCAGCCGUAAACUAUGCUCGCUAGGUGUCAGGACGGUGCGACCGUUUCUGGUGCCGCAGGGAAGCCGUGAAGCGAGCCACCUGGGAAGUACGGUCGCAAGGCUGAAACUUAAAGGAAUUGGCGGGGGAGCACUACAACGGGUGGAGCCUGCGGUUUAAUUGGAGUCAACGCCCGGGAAUC
rnacentral:rRNA from 1 species